rnacentral:sRNA from 2 species
AUGUACCACGCGCACCUUCCGGUUCUGAGUGCGACGUCCGUACCCACCUGACGACUGUUCGCUACGGUUUGUUAGUC